CCCCUCGGGGGCAGGUUUCCCGGGAUGCCUGCUGAGGAGAGCCGGGCCCCGACCACCCACGGAGCCUCCCCUCUUUACCCCAGUCAGGGGUCUGGCCCCUCUCUUGGGGGGCGCUACGGCCCUGCCGUGAAGGGGAGUCCGGGAAGAAGGUGGCUGGCCAGAGAGAUGUCCUUGGGGAGGGGUAGGUAGAUGUUUGCCUCUGAGAUGGGGUGGGUGGAUCUGGGUCACGGGGAGGGAGGGAGGGAAGGGACAAACUGUCAUCCCUGGGUGCCUGGAUGGUUGGGUGGACGGGGAGGCAGACGGGUGGGUCGGAUGGAUGGAGGGAGGUGGGUGGAUGGUUGGGUGGACGGGGAGGCAGGCGGGUGGGUCGGGUUGAUGAGGAGGCAGGCGGGAGGUUUGGACGGACGGGGAGGCAGGUGGGAUGGACGGGAAGGCAGGCAGGUGGGUGGAUUGGGCAGAUGGGGAGGCAGGUGGGAUGGACGGGAAGGCAGGCAGGUGGGUCGGGCUGAUGGGGAGGCAGGCAGGCGGGUGGAUUGGGCAGAUGGGGAGGCAGGUGGGAUGGACGGGAAGGCAGGCAGGUGGGUCGGGCUGAUGGGGAGGCAGGCGGGUGGGUCGGGCGGACGUGGAGGCAGGCGGGUGGGUCGGGCGGACGGGGAGGCAGGCGGGUGGGUUGGAUGGACGGGGAGGCAGGUGGGAUGGACGGGAAGGCAGGCAGGUUGGUCGGGCUGAUGGGGAGGCAGGCAGGCGGGUG